UUAAGCGACUAAGCGUACACGGUGGAUGCCCUGGCAGUCAGAGGCGAUGAAGGACGUGCUAAUCUGCGAUAAGCGUCGGUAAGGUGAUAUGAACCGUUAUAACCGGCGAUUUCCGAAUGGGGAAACCCAGUGUGAUUCGUCACACUAUCAUUAACUGAAUCCAUAGGUUAAUGAGGCGAACCGGGGGAACUGAAACAUCUAAGUACCCCGAGGAAAAGAAAUCAACCGAGAUUCCCCCAGUAGCGGCGAGCGAACGGGGAGCAGCCCAGAGCCUGAAUCAGUGUGUGUGUUAGUGGAAGCGUCUGGAAAGGCGCGCGAUACAGGGUGACAGCCCCGUACACAAAAAUGCACAUAUUGUGAGCUCGAUGAGUAGGGCGGGACACGUGGUAUCCUGUCUGAAUAUGGGGGGACCAUCCUCCAAGGCUAAAUACUCCUGACUGACCGAUAGUGAACCAGUACCGUGAGGGAAAGGCGAAAAGAACCCCGGCGAGGGGAGUGAAAAAGAACCUGAAACCGUGUACGUACAAGCAGUGGGAGCACGCUUCGGCGUGUGACUGCGUACCUUUUGUAUAAUGGGUCAGCGACUUAUAUUCUGUAGCAAGGUUAACCGAAUAGGGGAGCCGAAGGGAAACCGAGUCUUAACUGGGCGUUAAGUUGCAGGGUAUAGACCCGAAACCCGGUGAUCUAGCCAUGGGCAGGUUGAAGGUUGGGUAACACUAACUGGAGGACCGAACCGACUAAUGUUGAAAAAUUAGCGGAUGACUUGUGGCUGGGGGUGAAAGGCCAAUCAAACCGGGAGAUAGCUGGUUCUCCCCGAAAGCUAUUUAGGUAGCGCCUCGUGAAUUC
rnacentral:rRNA from 1 species